rnacentral:rRNA from 1 species
AACGAACGCUGGCGGCAUGCCUAACACAUGCAAGUCGAACGAGACCUUCGGGUCUAGUGGCGCACGGGUGCGUAACGCGUGGGAACCUGCCCUUAGGUUCGGAAUAACUCUCCGAAAGGGGUGCUAAUACCGGAUAGUGUCUUCGGACCAAAGAUUUAUCGCCUUUGGAUGGGCCCGCGUUGGAUUAGCUAGUUGGUAGGGUAAAAGCCUACCAAGGCGACGAUCCAUAGCUGGUCUGAGAGGAUGAUCAGCCACACUGGGACUGAGACACGGCCCAGACUCCUACGGGAGGCAGCAGUGGGGAAUAUUGGACAAGGGGCGAAAGCCUGAUCCAGCAAUGCCGCGUGAGUGAUGAAGGCCUUAGGGUUGUAAAGCUCUUUUACCCGGGAUGAUAAUGACAGUACCGGGAGAAUAAGCCCCGGCUAACUCCGUG